GUUUUGCCAGAAGGAUCUUUAUCACUCUAUUUUAAAUCCAAUAAUUCCUCAGUAGCGAAGAUUACAAGCAAACAGGAUGAACUGUGGGAGGACAGUAAGAAGUUAUAGUGAUGAUUAUUCAGUAAGCAUAUCUAGUGACUUCCCCAAUGACACGAAAUGCACGCCGUGGUGGAAAAAUAUGGGUCCUUAUAUUUUCAGACAAACCAGUUACAGUAAGACACGCUGAAACACGUAUGGGUUCGGGAAAGGGAUCCCCUGAAUAUUGGGUAGUUGUUAAACCAGGUCGAAUACUAUACGAAAUGGGUGGAGUAACCGAAAAUAUAGCUAGAAGGGCUAUUACAAUAGUAGCAUCCAAAAUGCCUAUACGAACUCAAUUCAUUAUUUCAGGAUAAAAAUGUAGAACCAACAGAAAUGAAUCUUGGGGAUGAAAGUUUCUUUUUUUGGACAAAAAAAUAUUCCUUUUUUUCUUCAUCCUUUGCAUUGGAAGAAUAGACUAAAAAAUUGAUAUGAUUCAACCUCAGACCCAUUUAAAUGUAGCAGAUAACAGCGGGGCUCGAGAAUUGAUGCGUAUUNAAUUGUCGAUAUGCUCAUAUUGGUGACGUUAUUGUUGCUGUGAUCAAAGAAGCACUACCAAAUAUAACCCUCGUGUUAGCCAAGAUUGGGAUCACUAGUCGCACAGCUGUCCCUCUAACUGCA
rnacentral:lncRNA from 1 species